CCGGGUAGAGUAAUGCGUGACCAACCUGCCCCAUGCUCCAGAAUAGCUCUUGGAAACGGGUGGUAAUGCUGGAUGCUCCAACUUGACGCAUGUCUUGUUGGGAAAGUGUUUAGUGGCAUGGGAUGGGGUCGCGUCCUAUCAGCUUGUAGGCGGGGUAAUGGCCCACCUAGGCUUCGACGGGUAGCCGGCCUGAGAGGGCGGACGGCCACAUUGGGACUGAGAUACGGCCCAGACUCCUACGGGAGGCAGCAGAA
rnacentral:rRNA from 1 species